rnacentral:rRNA from 1 species
GCCAGACUCCUACGGGAGGCAGCAGUGGGGAAUAUUGCACAAUGGGGGAAACCCUGAUGCAGCGACGCCGCGUGAGCGAUGAAGUAUUUCGGUAUGUAAAGCUCUAUCAGCAGGGAAGAAAAUGACGGUACCUGCAAAGGAAGCACCGGCUAACUCCGUGCCAGCAGCCGCGGUAAUACGGAGGGUGCGAGCGUUAAUCGGAAUUACUGGGCGUAAAGCGCUCGUAGGCGGUAUGUCAAGUCAAGGGUGAAAUCCCCGCGCUCAACGUGGGAACUGCCUUUGAAACUGGCAAACUGGAGUGUGUGAGAGGAUAGUGGAAUUCCAGGUGUAGGAGUGAAAUCCGUAGAUAUCAGGAGGAACACCGGCGGCGAAGGCGGCCUGCUGGACCGUAACUGACGUUGAGGCUCGAAAGCGUGGGGAGCAAACAGGAUUAGAUACCCGGGUA